UACGUAGGGGGCUAGCGUUGUCCGGAUUUAUUGGGCGUAAAGAGCGUGUAGGCGGCCAGGUAGGUCUGGUGUGAAAACUCGAGGCUUAACCUCGAGAUGUCAUCGGAAACCAUCUGGCUAGAGUCCGGAAGAGGAGAGUGGAAUUCCUGGUGUAGCGGUGAAAUGCGCAGAUAUCAGGAGGAACACCGAUGGCGAAGGCAGGUCUCUGGGCCACUACUGACGCUGAGAAGCGAAAGCGUGGGGAGCGAACAGG
rnacentral:rRNA from 1 species